rnacentral:rRNA from 1 species
CCUACGGGAGGCAGCAGUAGGGAAUAUUGGGCAAUGGAGGCAACUCUGACCCAGCCAUGCCGCGUGCAGGAAGAAGGCGUUAUGCGUUGUAAACUGCUUUUAUAUAGGAAGAAAUAGACCUUGCGAGGUAAGUUGACGGUACUAUAUGAAUAAGCACCGGCUAACUCCGUGCCAGCAGCCGCGGUAAUACGGAGGGUGCAAGCGUUGUCCGGAUUUAUUGGGUUUAAAGGGUGCGUAGGCGGUUUAUUAAGUCAGUGGUGAAAGACGGUCGCUCAACGAUUGCAGUGCCAUUGAUACUGGUAGACUUGAGUGGGAUUGAGGUAGCUGGAAUGGAUAGUGUAGCGGUGAAAUGCAUAGAUAUUAUCCAGAACACCAAUUGCGUAGGCAAGUUACUAAGUCUCAACUGACGCUGAGGCACGAAAGUGUGGGUAUCAAACAGGAUUAGAUACCCUGGUAGUCCACACUGUAAACGAUGAUAACUAACUGUUGGCUUUCGGAUUCAGUGGUACAGAGAAAUCGUUAAGUUAUCCACCUGGGGAGUACGCCGGCAACGGUGAAACUUAANAGAGUAGCGAGNGAGAGAGCGACGAGACACAGGGAGGAGG